rnacentral:rRNA from 1 species
UACGGAGGGUGCAAGCGUUAUCCGGAUUCACUGGGUUUAAAGGGUGCGUAGGUGGGUAUGUAAGUCAGUGGUGAAAUCCCCGAGCUUAACUUGGGAACUGCCGUUGAUACUAUAUAUCUUGAAUAUCGCGUAGGUAAGCGGAAUAUGUCAUGUAGCGGUGAAAUGCUUAGAUAUGACAUAGAACACCAAUUGCGAAGGCAGCUUACUUCACGAUUAUUGACACUGAGGCACGAAAGCGUGGGGAGCAGACAGG